GUCUUGGUCAUUUAGAGGAAGUAAAAGUCGUAACAAGGUCUCCGUAGGUGAACCUGCGGAGGGAUCAUUACAAGUGACCCCGGUUUACCACCGGGAUGUUCAUAACCCUUUGUUGUCCGACUCUGUUGCCUCCGGGGCGACCCUGCCUUCGGGCGGGGGCUCCGGGUGGACACUUCAAACUCUUGCGUAACUUUGCAGUCUGAGUAAACUUAAUUAAUAAAUUAAAACUUUUAACAACGGAUCUCUUGGUUCUGGCAUCGAUGAAGAACGCAGCGAAAUGCGAUAAGUAAUGUGAAUUGCAGAAUUCAGUGAAUCAUCGAAUCUUUGAACGCACAUUGCGCCCCCUGGUAUUCCGGGGGGCAUGCCUGUUCGAGCGUCAUUUCACCACUCAAGCCUCGCUUGGUAUUGGGCAACGCGGUCCGCCGCGUGCCUCAAAUCGACCGGCUGGGUCUUCUGUCCCCUAAGCGUUGUGGAAACUAUUCGCUAAAGGGUGUUCGGGAGGCUACGCCGUAAA
rnacentral:rRNA from 1 species